GCUGUAAUGGCCGAGUGGUUAAGGUGUUGGACUCGAAAUUCAAUGGGGUUUCCCCGCGCAGGUUCAGACCCUGCUUGCAGUG